GCUGUCACUAUAGCCUACUAGCUUU
rnacentral:sRNA from 1 species